rnacentral:tRNA from 1 species
ACCAUUUUGGCUCAUUGAAUAGAGCGUUGGUCUGUGGACUCAAGGGUCCUGGGUUUGAUUCCGGGCAAGGGUA